AUUGAACGCUAGCGGGAUGCUUUACACAUGCAAGUCGAACGAGUGGCGGACGGGUGAGUAAUAUAUCGGAACGUGCCCAGUAGCGGGGGAUAACUACUCGAAAGAGUGGCUAAUACCGCCUACUAUUGGAGCGGCCGAUAUCGGAUUAGCUAGUUGGUUGGGUAAAGGCUCACCAAGGCAACGAGCCGUAGCGGGGUUGAGAGGACGACCAGCCACAGUGGGAUUGAGACACGGCCCAGACUCCUACUGGAGGCAGCAGUGGGGAAUUUUGGACAAUGGGGGAAACCCUGAUCCAGCCAUCCCGCGUGUAUGAGAAGGCCUUCGGGUUGUAAAGUACUUUUGGCAGAGAAGCGGUAUCUGCAGAAUAAGCACCGGCGAACUACGUGCCAGCCGCCGCGUAAUUC
rnacentral:rRNA from 1 species